rnacentral:rRNA from 1 species
GAUGAACGCUGGCGGCGUGCCUAAUACAUGCAAGUCGAGCGAACAGAUGAGGAGCUUGCUCCUCUGACGUUAGCGGCGGACGGGUGAGUAACACGUGGAUAACCUACCUAUAAGACUGGGAUAACUUCGGGAAACCGGAGCUAAUACCGGAUAAUAUAUUUAACCGCAUGGUUCAAUAGUGAAAGACGGUUUUGCUGUCACUUAUAGAUGGAUCCGCGCCGCAUUAGCUAGUUGGUAAGGUAACGGCUUACCAAGGCAACGAUGCGUAGCCGACCUGAGAGGGUGAUCAGCCACACUGGAACUGAGACACGGUCCAGACUCCUACGGGAGGCAGCAGUAGGGAAUCUUCCGCAAUGGGCGAAAGCCUGACGGAGCAACGCCGCGUGAGUGAUGAAGGUCUUCGGAUCGUAAAACUCUGUUAUUAGGGAAGAACAAAUGUGUAAGUAACUAUGCACGUCUUGACGGUACCUAAUCAGAAAGCCACGGCUAACUACGUG